rnacentral:rRNA from 1 species
GGAAUAUUGGUCAAUGGACGCAAGUCUGAACCAGCCAUGCCGCGUGAAGGAUGACGGCCCUCUGGGUUGUAAACUUCUUUUACAGGGGAAGAAAUGCAUUUUUUCUAAAGUGUUUGACGGUACCCUGGGAAUACGCACCGGCUAACUCCGUUCCAGCAGCCGCGGUAAUACGGAGGGUGCAAGCGUUAUCCGGAUUCACUGGGUUUAAAGGGUGCGUAGGUGGGAAUGAAAGUCAGUGGUGAAAUCUCCGGGCUUAACCCGGAAACUGCCAUUGAUACUUUGUUUCUUGAAUCUUCUGGAGGUCAGCGGAAUAUGUCAUGUAGCGGUGAAAUGCUUAGAUAUGACAUAGAACACCAAUUGCGAAGGCAGCUGACUACGGGAGCAUUGACACUGAGGCACGAAAGCGUGGGGAUCAAACAGG